rnacentral:rRNA from 1 species
UAAAGAAAGUAAGAAAGGGCGUAUGGCGGAUGCCUAGGCUCACGGAGGCGAUGAAGGACGUGAUAAGCUGCGAUAAGCUUCGGGUAGGUGCAAAUAACCUUUGAUCCGAAGAUUUCCGAAUGGGACAACCUAGCCGUCUGAAGGACGGUUACUCUUACCAAUGUAAGAGAGCUAACGCAGGGAACUGAAACAUCUUAGUACCUGUAGGAAGAGAAAAUAAAUGAAUGAUUCCCCCAGUAGUGGCGAGCGAACGGGGAACAGCCCAAACCGUUGACGUCGCAAGGCGCCAGCGGGGUUGUAGGACCGCGACAUUGUAUGCAAAUCGUGAACAGAACACUUUGGAAAAUGUGACCAUAGACGGUGAUAGUCCAGUAUGUGAAGCGAAAUGCAGCAUAGCGGUAUCCUGAGUAACGCGGGACACGAGGAAUCCUGCGCGAAUCUGCCGGGACCAUCCGGUAAGGCUAAAUACUCCCGUGAGACCGAUAGCGAACGAGUACUGUGAAGGAAAGGUGAAAAGAACCCCGAGCAGGGGAGUGAAAUAGUUCCUGAAACCAUACGCCUACAAGCGGUCGGAGCAUCUUACGAUGUGACGGCGUGCCUUUUGCAUAAUGAUCCUACGAGUUACCGUCACUGGCGAGGUUGAGUGUCAUGAGACACGUAGCCGCAGUGAAAGCGAGCCUGAACAGGGCGCAUAGUCAGUGGGGGUAGACGCGAAACCAAGUGAUCUACACUUGGCCAGGAUGAAGUCCCGGUAACACGGGAUGGAGGUCCGCACCAAUAAGCGUUGAAAAGCUUCUGGAUGAGCCGAGUGUAGGAGUGAAAGGCCAAUCAAACUUGGAGAUAGCUCGUACUCCCCGAAAGGCAUUUAGGUGCCGCGUCGGAUGGUCACCGUGAGAGGUAGAGCGACCGAUAGGACAAGAGGGCUUCACCGCCUAUCGAGUCCUGACGAACUCCGAAUGCUCACGGUUUGCAGUCCGGCAGUAAGGGGGCGGGUGCUAAGGUCCGUCCCCGAGAGGAGAAGAAUCCAGACCGCCGUCUAAGGUCCCGGAGUUCUGCCUGAGUUAGUCUAACGAAGUCUGGUCCCUAUGACAGCUAGGAUGUUGGCUUGGAAGCAGCCAUUCAUUCAAAGAGUGCGUAACAGCUCACUAGUCGAGGGUCCGGGCAUGGAUAAUAAUCGGGUAUAAGGCAGACACCGAAGGCGCGGGAUAGCAUUUAAGAAAGUAUCGGUAGGGGAGCAUACUCACAGCGUGGAAUGGUGUACGUAAGUUAUCCUGGAGCGGUGAGUAAAGCAAAUGUAGGAAUAAGUAACGAUAAGGAGGGUUAGAUUCCCUCCCGCUGUAAGACCAAGGUUUCCCGGGCAAUGCCAAUCAGCCCGGGGUCAGUCGGGUCCUAAGUCUAAGCCGAACGGCGAUGGCGAUGGCAGAGACGGUUAAUAUUCCGUCACUGCCGCAUGGGGCGA